rnacentral:rRNA from 1 species
UCGGGAAUUUUGGGCAAUGGGGGAAACCCUGACCCAGCAACGCCGCGUGAAGGAUGAAGUAUUUCGGUAUGUAAACUUCGAAAGAAUAGGAAGAAUAAAUGACGGUACUAUUUAUAAGGUCCGGCUAACUACGUGCCAGCAGCCGCGGUAAUACGUAGGGACCAAGCGUUGUUCGGAUUUACUGGGCGUAAAGGGCGCGUAGGCGGCAAUUCAAGUCAUCUGUGAAAUCUCCGGGCUUAACUCGGAACGGUCAGAUGAUACUGCUUUGCUAGAGUGCAGAAGGGGCAAUCGGAAUUCUUGGUGUAGCGGUGAAAUGCGUAGAUAUCAAGAGGAACACCUGAGGUGAAGACGGGUUGCUGGGCUGACACUGACGCUGAGGCGCGAAAGCCAGGGGAGCAAACGGGGAUUAGAUACCCUGGUAGUCCCUGAGCGGGCUGGCAAGGCGCAU